rnacentral:rRNA from 1 species
AGUGAACGCUGGCGGUAGGCCUAACACAUGCAAGUCGAACGGCAGCACAGUAAGAGCUUGCUCUUACGGGUGGCGAGUGGCGGACGGGUGAGGAAUACAUCGGAAUCUACUUUUUCGUGGGGGAUAACGUAGGGAAACUUACGCUAAUACCGCAUACGACCUACGGGUGAAAGCAGGGGAUCUUCGGACCUUGCGCGAUUGAAUGAGCCGAUGUCGGAUUAGCUAGUUGGCGGGGUAAAGGCCCACCAAGGCGACGAUCCGUAGCUGGUCUGAGAGGAUGAUCAGCCACACUGGAACUGAGACACGGUCCAGACUCCUACGGGAGGCAGCAGUGGGGAAUAUUGGACAAUGGGCGCAAGCCUGAUCUAGCCAUGCCGCGUGGGUGAAGAAGGCCUUCGGGUUGUAAAGCCCUUUUGUUGGGAAAGAAAAGCAGCAGGUUAAUACCCCGCUGUUCUGACGGUACCCAAAGAAUAAGCACCGGCUAACUUCGUG